rnacentral:rRNA from 1 species
AGUCGAGCGAGCUUGCCUAGAUGAAUUUGGUGCUUGCACCAGAUGAAACUAGAUACAAGCGAGCGGCGGACGGGUGAGUAACACGUGGGUAACCUGCCCAAGAGACUGGGAUAACACCUGGAAACAGAUGCUAAUACCGGAUAACAACACUAGACGCAUGUCUAGAGUUUAAAAGAUGGUUCUGCUAUCACUCUUGGAUGGACCUGCGGUGCAUUAGCUAGUUGGUAAGGUAACGGCUUACCAAGGCAAUGAUGCAUAGCCGAGUUGAGAGACUGAUCGGCCACAUUGGGACUGAGACACGGCCCAAACUCCUACGGGAGGCAGCAGUAGGGAAUCUUCCACAAUGGACGCAAGUCUGAUGGAGCAACGCCGCGUGAGUGAAGAAGGGUUUCGGCUCGUAAAGCUCUGUUGGUAGUGAAGAAAGAUAGAGGUAGUAACUGGCCUUUAUUUGACGGUAAUUACUUAGAAAGUCACGGCUAACUACGUGCCAGCAGCCGCGGUAAUACGUAGGUGGCAAGCGUUGUCCGGAUUUAUUGGGCGUAAAGCGAGUGCAGGCGGUUCAAUAAGUCUGAUGUGAAAGCCUUCGGCUCAACCGGAGAAUUGCAUCAGAAACUGUUGAACUUGAGUGCAGAAGAGGAGAGUGGAACUCCAUGUGUAGCGGUGGAAUGCGUAGAUAUAUGGAAGAACACCAGUGGCGAAGGCGGCUCUCUGGUCUGCAACUGACGCUGAGGCUCGAAAGCAUGGGUAGCGAACAGGAUUAGAUACCCUGGUAGUCCAUGCCGUAAACGAUGAGUGCUAAGUGUUG